rnacentral:lncRNA from 1 species
AUGAUAAGCACCGGGCCAAGUCACGUGCUUGAAAUUAAUCGCACUUCCGCUCCUGCCUGCAAAUCCACACUGCUUAAAAAACCUACAAGCCCCAACAAGGUACACCGGCGCGACACGCUCGCUUCAGCGCGCAAAUCCCACGUGGCCGUCCUCCGUGGGGGAAUUAAAGGCAAGCGAGUUGCUCCUUGCUCCUGUUUCAAGCACGCAUUCCUGCUGCCGGGCUCACCUCUGAGCAGAAAUGCAAAUAAGCCUAAGGGAAACAGAAAGGAAAGCGUCUCGAAACAGAAGCCCGUAGGCAACGCUGUCACGGCUCGAAAAAUAUACGUGUGCGCGUAUAGGUGCCGUGUGCGCCCAUACGUGCCCAUUCCUUGCGUGUGCGGGCUUUCUGCACGCCGCCGGCUGCGGGGAGGACACCCAGCGUGCGUGGCAAGCCCCUGGGGGGGCCGCGUCGGCCUCUCGCCCCAUCGCCUUCACCGACACGGAGCAUGAGAUCCAUUCUUUUGGUCUCCUACGUAUGCUGCCCUGCUGCACCACUGGCACCUCUGGUGCUUACAGUGACAACGAUGCCACACACCCAGAGCCCAGGAGGGCAAAGCAGCCAGCCCCCAGAAGGUGCCAGAAGACAUUAAUUUUCCACCAGCAGCCAGUAGUGCCCCCAUGUGUCUUCACGCAUGAAUUUCAAACAUUGGGGUUCCAGUAAUUUGCUUGAAUGUUACGUGACACUAGAAAUCUCGCGUGCACAGGCUGUACGCUGUGCAACCCCUUUCUUUGGAGCCCCAAAACAGUUAAAGAAUUUCAUGCAAGGGAGGAUGUAUGAAAUGAAAUAACUUGAGCCUAUAUUAACAUAAGCCAUGCUUUUAGUUGAAAUACAGUAGGUAACCAUAAAUAUCCAAUAGCCUAUUCUGGCAAACUUGUAAGUUCAGGCAUGAACUCUUGUUCAUUGAUUUCCAAGACCACCAGUUUAAAUAAACAUUACAACUUCUUAGUAUCUAUAUGUUCA